CAAUUUAAGAAAAUCUGUUAGUAAUUUAUCACAAGGAAAUAUUGGUAAAACUUGUUAUUAAUUUGAUUGUAGCAUUUUAUUGAUACAUUGCAUAAUAUCCUGAAAUCUUGGAACCUGGAGUUGACAACUAUUUUUCUUAGAGCUAUGUGGAGACACUGUUGAAGUAGUGUAACAUAGCAUAAAGCAAAUGUGGAUGCUGUUAAGAGCCAAUGAAAGUCAUACAGAAGAACUCCUUUUAUGAAAAAUGAUUUUACAUAAAUACUCUUAAAGCAAUAGCAAUGAUGCAAAACUUCAUUGAUGUAUUAGAAUGACAAACAGCCAUUAUGCUUCCUGGUGUUUUUGCCAUCUCCGUUUGAAUUUUAUUUUCUGCUUCUGUUUUGUAAGGUGUGUUUUCUGUCAUUCUAAUUACUUUUAACAAAAUCACACCUGUGCGCACUUUUUUAUUAAAUAAGCAUUUAGUUCUGGUCUCUGCCUCCAAGAGAUGAAACUGAGUUGGACUAUUUGUUUCAAUUUUAAUGUUCAAGUUUUUACCUUGUAAGACGGUGAUGAGUUCUGGGUUUGUUUAGUAGACAGAAUAAUGCUCUCAAAAGAUGCCCACAUUCUAAUCCCCAAAACCUGUGAAUAUGUCACCUAACAUGGCAAAAGGGACUUUUGUAACUAUACGUUUUUUGUGUUUACAUGUAAUUAGCUGAAAUAUUGUUUAGACUUCCACUGUGUGUCUUUACCAAUUAUCAGUUUAACAGUUUCUCUAUUAUGAAGAUAUAGAUUGACAUCAACAUUUGCUAUUAAUCAUUUAUUAUUUCUUCCUUUUAGAAAGUUGAAUUUCUGGAGCAAGAGAUACAAAUUAAGACUAUUGUUACAUGUUGCCUACAUACAUGACCCUCAAAAGCAUGAUUCCCAGUGGCAUCUCAACAGCAUACAUAAACAAUGACAGAGCUUAUACAAAUUAAGAAAAUAACAGGAGAGGACUCAAGAUGGCGCUGUGAGAACAACCCAGGAUUGGAGCUCUUCUCGUUGAAUCCGCAAACGGUUCAAGACAUCAUCCAGCCACUUGUCUGGGGAGUGAACCCUAAUCCAGUUCCUGACCAGACCGGGCCCUGACACACUUUCCGUCCUGGUGACCUGGUGUAUGUCAAAAAAUUCCAAAAAGAAGGACGUACUCCUGCCUGGAAAGGACCUCACACCAUCAUCCUCAGCAUACCAACGGCCCUAAAGGUUGACAGCAUUCCUGCACGGAUCCACCACUCCAGCAUCAAAAAGCCC
rnacentral:lncRNA from 1 species